AUACGUAGGUGGCAAGCGUUAUCCGGAAUUAUUGGGCGGAAAGAGUGAGCAGGCGGUUAAUUAAGUCUGCGGUUAAAGCGUGGGGCUCAACCCCAUAAAGGCUUGGAAACUGGUUGUCUAGAGUACGGGUGAAGUGAAGGGAACUCCAUGUGUAGCGGUGAAAUGCGUAGAUAUAUGGAAGAAAACCAGUGGCGAAGGCGCUUCACUAGCCCGAAACUGACGCUCAGUCACGAAAGCGUGGGUAGCAAAUAGGAUUAGAUACCCUAGUAGUCCACGCCGUAAACGAUGACAACUAAAUAUUGCCGCGAGGCAGUGUUGAAGCUAACGCAUUAAGUUGUCCGCCUGGGGAGUACGGUCGCAAGACUGAAACUCAAAGGAAUUGACGGGG
rnacentral:rRNA from 1 species